CUCUAAUGAGACUGCCGGUGACAAACCGGAGGAAGUGGGGAUGACGUCAAGUCCUCAUGGCCCUUAUGGUAGGGCUACACAACGUCAUACAAUGGCCGGUACAAAGGGCAGCCAACCCGCGAGGGGGAGCCAAUCCCGUAAAGCCGGUCGUAGUCCGGAUCGCAGUCUGCAACUCGACUGCGUGAAGUCGGAAUCGCUAGUAAUCGUGGAUCAGCAUGUCACGGUGAAUACGUUCCCGGGUCUU
rnacentral:rRNA from 1 species